AUUGGAUUAGUCAAGAAGUGUAUGAAUCUCCCUUUAGUGAUACUCGUGGUGUUGAUAGGUUGUAUAAGGACCAAACUCUUUUUGUGAGUAUGCAAGCACUAGUUGAUCCUUUAGAUGACAAAAUCAAUUCUUUUCAUAAGAAUGAUUUGUGUCUAUCUAGUGCUAGCACUUAUAACUUGAAUAAGGUUCCAUUAUCAUUUGACAAGAGUAUUCACAAACUACAUUACCCUCUUGUAGAUGAUAGUACCUUGGUUGAUGUCUUCACACUUGAUUCCUUCCUAUACUACCUCUUUGCCUAUGAUGAUAACUAUGUUAAUUUUGAAUUGAUAUUAUGUAGAGGUAGUAAGCUUGGUGGCUGUUUUCGUUUCUUGAAUGAAGAUGAUUGUAUUUUUUCCUUUCUUUAAUGAAGAUUAUUGUGAGUUUUAUUCUCUAGUAAAAGGAAUGGCUAACCUCAGCUUAGAUUUUUGUCUAUUUCAUUCAUUUGAUCCCGGUAUACUAUUGGGGUGGGGAAGGAUGUGUUUUGGAUUGCAUUCCUUUUUCCUUGAUAUCUGUAUUAACCAUGUCCUUUGUGAUGCUUGUAGUAAGUAUUUCAUGAUUGUAACAAAGGAUAGUUGGGUGUAUUCCAAAAGUGUACCCCCUUGGCAUAAUUGUAUUGUUGAUCUUGAUAAAGUAUAUGGUCCUUUGAACGUGUGUAAUGAAAGCCCUUAUGUUAAUCUUGUUCAUAAUGACCUUGUUUUUGUCCUAGUGGUAGGUAAUGCCUUGAAUGAUUGUGAGCUUGAUAACCUAGUGAAAGGAGUGGUCCAUCUCGACUUAAACCUUUAUCAUUUGCUCCCAUUUGACCCCGGAAUACUCUUGAGAUGUGAAGGAUAUAGUUGCUGGUCGUGCUCACUUAUUUUUGAUAUUGAUGCUAUUCAUGUCUUUGUUAUACUUUAUGCUAAGUUAUUUUAUGUCAAAAAGCAAGGAUAUGUGGAUGUAUGUCAAGUGUGAGAAACCAUGGGUUAAUGAUAUAAGUGUGGUGCUAAUACUAGCACUCCUACCAAGAGGAUUUUGUGUUUGUUUUUGCUCUCUCUUUGGUUUUUGUAAGAUCUGAAUUUGAGGAAAAAUUCCUUCAAGAUGGAGAGGAUGAUACAAGCACAAUGAGCCUCAAGAGCACAAGAUAUUGUCUAAGGGUCAAGGCUUUGGAAUUGGCAAGCAAUUAAAGACUUUUUGGAGUAUUUUGAAGCCUUGGUCAAGAGAAGGAAGGAGGGGAAUUUAUACACCCAUAGGCGCCUCAAAGAAAGGAUAAUGAAGACUUUUUACACUUCAAAAGAGCACUCUAUAGAAGCCUCCUUUUAAGUCCUCAUUAAGGGCAUUUUUGUCCUUUGGCAUGUAAUAGUAUAAAUAGACCCUUUAGCUUGUAUUUUCAUUAGACUUUGAUGAAUUGAAAUUGAGUAUUACUCAUAGUUUGUAGAUUUAGUCUUGUAGUUGUAGCUCUUAGAAUCGAAACUUGGUCCAUGAACAUUUGAAAGUUAGGGUUUUCACUUGUCUUGGAUGAUUUGGCAAGAAAGGUGUGCUUGAGGAAGUGUGUUUCCUUUGGGUCACCUAAGAGGGGGGUUUAAACUCUUAUUUGUGAGGUGUGUUGAAGAUUUUGAAACAUCUUCUAGUGCUAAUCAUUGAAUAGGAGUAAGGGUCUUUCUAUCUAUCCUUUAAUUUCAAGCAUUCUUCUUCUUUAUCUCCAUUCUAUAUAUUGUUUUCUCUUUAUUUGGUUUCUGGAAUUUACAUCUUAUAGCCAAUUUCGUGUGUUUGGUAGUCUUUAGGCUAUCACAUCGGCCCAGUGCUGGAAGGUCAAGAAAGUUGGUGACCUGAUGACAGGAGAGCCGGCGACCAAAGCCCUGGUGAACGACAACUGUAACUGUAAAGGUCCUAAGGUAGUAAAAUUCCUUGUCGGGUAAGUUCUGACCCACACGAAAGGCGUAACGAUCUGGGCACUAUCUCGGUGAGAGGCUCGGUAAAAUAGACAUGUCUGUGAAGAUAAGGACUACCUGCACCUAGAAAGAAAGACCCUGUGAAGCUUCACUGUUCCCUGGGAUUGGCUUUGGACCUUUCCUGCGUAGCUUAGGUGGAAGGCGAAGAAGGCCUCUUCCGCGGGGGACCCAAGCCAUCAGUGAGAUACCACUCUGGAAGGGAUAGAAUUCUAACCUUGUGUCAGGACCUAUGGGCCAAGGGACAGUCUUAGGUAGACAGUUUCUAUUAGGAGUAGGCCUCCCAAAAGGUAACGGAUGUGUGCAAAGGUUUCCUUGGGUCGGACGGAGAUUAGCCCUCGAGUGUAAAGGCAUAAGGGAGCUUGACUGCAAGACCCACUCGUCGAGCAGGGACAAAAGUUGGCCUUAGUAAUCUGACAGUGCCGAGUGGAAGGGCCAUCGCUCAAUGGAUAAAAGUUACUCUAGGGAUAAUAGGCUGAUCUUUCCCAAGAGGUUACAUCAAUGAAAAGGUUUGGCACCUCGAUGUCGGCUCUUCGCCACCUGGGGCUGUAGUAUGUUCCAAGGGUUGGGCUGCUCUCCCAUUAAAGCGAUACAUGAGAUGGGUUCAGAAUGUCAUGAGACAGUUUGGUCCAUAUUCGGUGUGGGCGUUAGAGCAUUGAGAGGACCUUUCCCUAGUACGAGAGGACCGGGAAGGACGCACCUCUGGUGUACCAGUUAUCGUGCCCACGGUAAACGCUGGGUAGCCAAGUGCGGAGCGGAUAACUGCUGAAAGCAUCUAAGUAGUAAGCCCACCCCAAGAUGAGUGCUCUCCUAUUCCGACUUCCCCAGAGCUUCCGGUAGCACAGCCGAGACAGCGACGGGUUCUCUGCCCCUGCGGGGAUGGAGCGACAGNCAUAUAAGUAGUAAGCACACCCCAAGAUGAGUUCUCUCCUAU
rnacentral:rRNA from 1 species